CUUGAAAGUAGACACAAACUCGGUAUUUUUAUAUUUAUAUACUCCAGAAAUCAUGUGGAUUGUGGAGUGGGUAAAUUUGCUUUCAUAUCUACGAAGCAAUUAGAGAAUCUGAAAUGGAAUAGAGAAGACUAAUAACAGGUAAAUACUUCAAAAUUAGGUCACAUUUAGAUAAUAACUUAACUUGCUGAAAAUAGCUUAUACACAUAUCCUUUUUAUAUUUAUGAUUAUGUUUUAUGAUAAAACUCAAAUGAAACCAUCCAAACACUGUCUUAAAUACCAAUGCUAUGAUAACUUGUUUUAUCUUUGUUUUGCUUGUAUAUGUAAUAUGUUUGAUUGACAUAAAAUACUCUCUCCGGUGACUAUUAUAAGCAAAAAAAUCCCCUUGUUAAGUUCAUUAUAAAACUGAUGUAUCUGACCUAUGAUAUACACGAGAUACAUGAGACAUCAGCUUUUCAAUGAACCUAAAAAGUUGUUUUUUGCUUAUAAGAGUGACCGGAGGGAUUACUCUCCGGUGACUAUUAUAAGCAAAAAAAUUCCAUUGUUAAGUUCAUUAAAAAACUGAUGUAUCUGACCUAUGAUAUACACGAGAUACAUGAGACAUCAGCUUUUCAAUGAACCUAAAAAGUUGUUUUUUGCUUAUAAGAGUGACCGGAGGGAUUACUAAAAUAUAAUGUUAAAUUGUCCCUCACGCUCAUGAUUGGACAUCUGAAGCGUAACCAGAGUGGUCCGAUAGCAGUGACUUGAUAAAUGGUGAUCCAACGGAUCUUAGACUUUGGUACCAUUUUAGAAUCUGAGUUGAACUUAAUUCAAUCAUUAUAAACAAUUGGCUGACCAUAUCUCAGCCAGUGUGAGUCUAUUAGCACAGUGAUAAGAGUCUGACCUUGUAACCUUAAGGGUAGGAAUUCAAAUCUUCUCGGAUAUGAUUGCAAAAUUGUCAUUUGUGCCAGGUUAAUUAAUAAUAUUUGUUCAUCCUCAAUUUUUAUACAAAUAAAAAGAUGCCUUGCACCAAAAUAAUUAAGCAUCUAAUCAAUCUAAUAACACUUUCAAUGAAUUGAAGCUGAAAAAUGGUAAAAAGCUAACGGUGUACAAAGACAAAGAAAAUCUUUUACCAGAAGUUUCUUUUGUAGUUAAGUGCUUGUAAACAAAAGCCAAAUUAAUAUUGACAGGAAAAUUGGCUUUGGUUUCAUAUAUACUAUCUUGCAUCUAACAAUGUUAUGGAAACUUCAUUAUUUGAAUGCAGCACAGUAGUUCCUGAUGAAGAUCCUAAUUGGUGUGGAUAAAAGGCUGGUUCCUUUGGCUUCGGCAAUGCUUUUUCACCAUUCAGCAUUAGAACUGCAGCUGACAUGUCGGGCCUGUCAUCAGGUCUCUCUUGCACACAUAAAAGCCCUAUCUGAAUACAUCUCAAUACUUCCGCUUCAGCUACAACAAUUGAAUCGCUUAGAGUUUCGUCUAUCAGCUUCAACGGCGUUGUUUCACACCACAUUCUCCAUGCCUAGAGGAAAUGAAAAUUAAGAUUGUGAGUUUUUCAGUUUACUUGUCAAUCAUUGUUGUCAAACUAAUAUUGUCAGAUAUAAAGCCGUGCUAUAGCGUAGCGGAAUUUUGACAAACUAAUAUUGUUUCACCAUACAUG
rnacentral:lncRNA from 1 species